rnacentral:rRNA from 1 species
CCUACGGGUGGCAGCAGUGAGGAAUAUUGGUCAAUGGGCGGAAGCCUGAACCAGCCAAGUCGCGUGAGGGAAGAAGGCCCUACGGGUCGUAAACCUCUUUUGCCGGGGAGCAAGGGCGGGGACGUGUCCCGGCCCGGAGAGUACCCGGAGAAAAAGCAUCGGCGAACUCCGUGCCAGCAGCCGCGGUAAUACGGAGGAUGCGAGCGUUAUCCGGAUUUAUGGGGUUUAAAGGGUGCGUAGGUUGUUUUUUAAGUCAGCGGUGAAAGUUUGUGGCUCCACCAGAAAAUUGCCGUUGAAACUGGCAGACUUGCGUGUGUUUGCGGUAGGCGCACUGCGUGGUGUCGCGGU